rnacentral:rRNA from 1 species
CGCCUCUUGCUAACAAAGGAAGUACUAGAGGUCCCGCCUGCCCUGUGACCACAAAGUUUAACGGCCGCGGUAUCCUGACCGUGCGAAGGUAGCGUAAUCAUUUGUCUUUUAAAUAGAGACCUGUAUGAAUGGCAUAACGAGGGUUUAACUGUCUCCUUCCCCCAGUCAAUGAAAUUGAUCUGCCCGUGCAGAAGCGGACAUAAAUACAUAAGACGAGAAGACCCUAUGGAGCUUUAGACAAAAGAUCAAACAUGUAAAGAAACCAAAACAACCAAAAGGAACACGAAGGCCACAAAACCCAACGUAAACUGAUCUAAAUGUCUUCGGUUGGGGCGACCAUGGGGGAAAGAAAAGCCCCCACGAGGAACAGGGACAACCCCUAAACUAAGAGGGACACCUCUAAGCAACAGAAAAUCUGACCAAAAUGACCCAGGAUACUAAUCCUGAUCAACGAACCAAGUUACCCUAGGGAUAACAGCGCAAUCCUUU